UGGGGAAUAUUGCACAAUGGGCGCAAGCCUGAUGCAGCCAUGCCGCGUGUAUGAAGAAGGCCUUCGGGUUGUAAAGUACUUUCAGCGGGGAGGAAGGGAGUAAAGUUCAUACCUUUGCUCAUUGACGUUACCCGCAGAAGAAGCACCGGCUAACUCCGUGCCAGCAGCCGCGGUAAUACGGAGGGUGCAAGCGUUAAUCGGAAUUACUGGGCGUAAAGCGCACGCAGGCGGUUUGUUAAGUCAGAUGUGAAAUCCCCGGGCUCAACCUGGGAACUGCAUCGGAUACUGGCAAGCUUGAGUCUCGUAGAGGGGGGUAGAAUUCCAGGUGUAGCGGUGAAAUGCGUAGAGAUCUGGAGGAAUACCGGUGGCGAAGGCGGCCCCCUGGACGAAGACUGACGCUCAGGUGCGAAAGCGUGGGGAGCAAACAGG
rnacentral:rRNA from 1 species